UACGGAGGGUGCGAGCGUUGUUCGGAAUCACUGGGCGUAAAGCGCGUGUAGGCGGCCCAUUAAGUCUGAUGUGAAAGCCCGGGGCUCACCCCCGGAAGUGCAUUGGAAACUGAUGGACUAGAGUCCCGGAGAGGAGAGUGGAAUUCCUGGUGUAGCGGUGAAAUGCGUAGAUAUCAGGAGGAACACCGGUGGCGAAGGCGGGUCUCUGGGCCGAUACCGACGCUGAGGAGCGAAAGCGUGGGGAGCGAACAGG
rnacentral:rRNA from 1 species